rnacentral:rRNA from 1 species
GCUAAAUACUCCUGAGAGACCGAUAGUGAACUAGUACCGUGAGGGAAAGGUGAAAAGCACCCUGAACAAGGGAGUGAAAUAGUACCUGAAACCAUGCGCUUACAAACGGUCGGAGCUUCGAUUUAUCGGAGUGACGGCGUGCCUUUUGCAUAAUGAGCCUACGAGUUACUCCUCACUAGCAAGAUUAAGGGCUUCAGGUCCGUAGUCGAAGCGAAAGCAAGUCUUAAUAGGGCGUCUAGUUAGUGGGGGUAGACGCGAAACUUGGUGAUCUACCCAUGGCCAGGUUGAAGCUCUGUUAACCCAGAGUGGAGGACCGAACCAGUACACGUUGAAAAGUGUUUGGAUGAGCUGUGGGUGGGGGUGAAAGGCCAAUCAAACUGAGAAAUAGCUCGUACUCCCCGAAAUGCAUUUAGGUGCAGCCUCGAGUAUAAGUGUCAUAGAGGUAGAGCUACUGAUAAGGCUAGAGGGCUUCACCGCCUAUCAACCCUUGAUAAACUCCGAAUGCUAUGACAUGUUCCUCGGGAGUGAGGCGUUGGGUGCUAAGGUCCAGCGCCGAGAGGGAAAGAACCCAGACCAUCAGCUAAGGUCCCCAAAUGUAUGCUAAGUUGUUCUAACGAAGUGUGAUUGCUUUGACAGCUAGGAUGUUGGCUUGGAAGCAGCCAUUCAUUUAAAGAGUGCGUAACAGCUCACUAGUCGAGCGAUCGUGCGUGGAUGAUAAUCGGGCAUAAGUAUACUACCGAAGCUAUGGAUUUGUAAUUUAUUAUAACUGGUAGGGGAGCAUUCUAAUUGCGUCGAAGCAGAGUCGUAAGGUUUUGUGGAGCGAUUAGAAAAGAAAAUGUAGGCAUAAGUAACGAUAAUGCAGGUGAGAAACCUGCACACCGAUAGACUAAGGUUUCCUGAUCAACGCUAAUCGGAUCAGGGUUAGUCGGGGCCUAAGGCGAACCCGAAAGGGGUAGUCGAUGGACAACAGGUCAAAAUUCCUGUACUAGCGUAUAUUGCGAUGGAGAGACGAAAAAGUGAAAGGACUGCGUACUGACGGAAUAGUACGUUGAAGGGUGUAGUUUUAUGGUUUUGUUAAUAGCUUAACUUUGAUGAACCUGAUAGUACCGUAAGUCUUCGGACGAGCGGAUAAUGUCCCUAAACCGGUUUCCAAGAAAAUCUUCUAAGCUUCAGAUAUAUGCUACCCGUACCGCAAACCGACACAGGUAGUCAAGGAGAGAAUCCUAAGGUGCUCGAGUGAAUCAUGGCUAAGGAACUCGGCAAAAUAGUCCUGUAACUUCGGGAGAAAGGACGCCCCGAGCAAUCGGGGCCGCAGUGAAUAGGCCCAGGCGACUGUUUAUCAAAAACACAGGGCUUUGCCAAAUCGAAAGAUGAUGUAUAAGGCCUGACACCUGCCCGGUGCUGGAAGGUUAAGAGGGGGAGUUAUUCUUUAGGGAAGAAGCUCUGAAUUGAAGCCCCAGUAAACGGCGGCCGUAACUAUAACGGUCCUAAGGUAGCGAAAUUCCUUGUCGGGUAAGUUCCGACCUGCACGAAUGGUGUAACGAUCUGGGCACUGUCUCAGCCAUGAGCUCGGUGAAAUUGUAGUUCCGGUGAAGAUGCCGGGUACCCGCAACGGGACGGAAAGACCCCGUGCACCUUUACUAUAGCUUAACAUUGAUUUUGGAUAAAUAAUGUGUAGGAUAGGUGGGAGAUUACGAAGCGGCUUCGCUAGGAGUCGUGGAGUCAACCUUGAAAUACCACCCUUUAUUUAUUUGGAGUCUAACUCUGGAAAGAGGACAGUGUUUGGUGGGUAGUUUGACUGGGGUGGUCGCCUCCAAAAGUGUAACGGAGGCUUCUAAAGGUACCCUCAGCAUGAUUGGUAACCAUGCGUAGAGUGCAAUGGCACAAGGGUGCUUGACUGUGAGACAGACAAGUCGAUCAGGUAGGAAACU